GACGAACGCUGGCGGCGCGCUUAACACAUGCAAGUCGAGCGAUGAAACUUUAACAGGACUCUUCGGGGCGAAGACAAAGUGGAUUAGCGGCGGACGGGUGAGUAACACGUGAGUAACCUGCCUUAGACAUUGGGAUAGCCCCGGGAAACCGUGAUUACUACCAAAUAAAAUCAUAAUAACACAUGUCAUAACGAUCAAAACUCCGGUGGUCUAAGAUGGACUCGCGUCCCAUUAGCUAGUUGGGAGGGUAAAAGCCUACCAAGGCGACGAUGGGUAGCCGGCGUGAGAGGGGGAACGGCGACAUUGGAACUGAGAAACGGUCCCAACUCCUGCGGGAGGCGGCAGUGGGGGAUAUUGCACAAUGGAGCGAACUCUGAUGCAGCGACGCCGCGUGAACGGAGUAGGCGUUCGAGUCGUAAAGUUCUAUUAUAUGGGAAGAUAAUGACGGUACCUGAAGAAGAAGCCCCGGCUAACUACGUG
rnacentral:rRNA from 1 species